AAUAUUGGGCAAUGGGCGCAAGCCUGAUCCAGCAAUUCGGGGUGUGUGAAGAAGGCCUGCGGGUUGUAAAGCACUUUCGGCAGGGAAGAAAGGCUCAAUGCUAAUACCAUUGGGUUAUGACGUUACCUGCAUAAGAAGCCCCGGCUAACUCCGUGCCAGCAGCCGCGGUAAUACGGAGGGUCCAAGCGUUUUUGGGAAUUACUGGGGGUAAAGCGCGGGUAGGGGGUUAAGUAAGUCGGAUGUGAAAGUCCUGGGCUUAACCUGGGAAUUGCAUACGAUACUGCUUGGCUAGAGUAUAGGAGAGGAAGGCGGAAUUCCAGGGGUAGCGGUGAAAUGGGUAGAUAUCUGGAGGAACACCAGUGGGGAAGGCGGCCUUCUGGCCUAAUACUGACGUUGAGGCGGGAAAGCGUGGGGACCAAACAGGAUUAGAUACCCUGGUAGUCCACGCUGUAAACGAUGAGGACUGGUUUUUGGAAGGGUUUGCCUUUCAGUGACGCAGCUAACGCGCUAAGUCCUCCGC
rnacentral:rRNA from 1 species